rnacentral:lncRNA from 1 species
GGCAGGAUUGCAAGAAGCUUGCCAGGGUUGUUAGGACCAUUUAAAACCAGCCCUGCCCUCAGGAAACUUACACUCUAUCGGUUAGAGGAAGGCGGUGCCCGGGGUCUCGCAAGCGCAGCCCCCUCCCCCGUCCCGAGGCGACAGCCUUCGUGCCCCCGGUACGGCCUACGGGCUCCCGCGCAGCAGGGCCUUGUGCAACUGGGGGCGUCCGCAGCCCUCUCAAACGCGGCCGACCGGGGGGCUUCGGACCCGCCCAGAAGCCGGGAGCAGGGUCAGAGACGCAGACUGCACCUCGGGAAGUGCGCGGCCCCUAGACUCCCGGCGCUGCGCUCUUGUGACCGCGGACUGUUCCCCUGCGCUCGCGGGCCUCAGGGGUCCCGCCCCAGAGAGAAGGGGUCGCACAGAGGCGUUCACUUCCGUCCCCUGCGCUUGCUUCGCCUGGGAAAGGAAAGGGCUGGCUCAGAUACUCUCCGAGACCCCUUUUACUUGAGCUCGGAGCUGUGUUUCCAGCCUCCAUGUCUUCCCCCCCUCCCGAGCCUGGACAUAUGUGACUUUUUCGCCUCCUCUUUUCAGAGUCCUGGUUCUUCCUCCAAGCGUCGGCUCCACGAUGCCGCGGAAACCCCCCAGGGAUGCUUCAUUGAUAAAGCUAGUUCUUAGGGCUUUCUCCCUCCUGAAAUGAUCCGAGUGUGCCUCUCUGUUUAUCAGAGCGCUUAGUGAGUGUCAGCUGGAUGGAGGAUGAUCCCAUGAAUUCCUGCCUCCAGAUUCAGGCCUCUUUCUCCCAACCCUUCUCCCCUCCCCCAAUUACAGAGGGCUAGAGAGGACCCAGCUCCUUCACACUUGGUGUAUGGGGCAGCAUGAGUGGGAAAGGAAGCGUGCGAGAUGCUUUUCCUAGGCUGGGCCACAGGGAACGAGCUCUUAGAAGGGGAGGAUGGACGCUGCUUUCCUUUUUAAGGAACAUCUUAAGAAUUUAGAGUUGGAAAUGGCAAUCUUCAGGAAGAGAUGUUUAACCCUAGGCUAGGAAGCUGGAGUUCGGGAUGCUAAUCUCAGCUCAGCCGUGGGCUCCUCCGCUGGCCUUCCUCCGUAGCCUCAGUUUCCUCCAUAGUAAAAUGGGGAUAAAAACACGGUUUCUGGUAGGCAAAAGCUAAGGAAAUUGUCGUCCACAAUCGCUUUAAGAGAGAAGGGGUGGAGAGACGCUGUUUGAGGAUCUCUCUCUCCUCAAUCUAAAUACUUCCCAGCGCACCACGGCUGCUCUCCCAAUCAGAUUGUAGACGGUUUAACAGAUUCUAAUCAGCAUUUGUGAGACCACCCCAGGGGUGUUAAUCUAAAGAUUGUUUGGGGGAGAUUUAGGAGAAACUUCGAUUCUUCUCUCCAGCCCCACUUUAACACCUUCUAAAGACUAUUGUCCCCUUUAGUGCGGGGAAAUUUAGACUGGGAAGUCAGAGCUGGGUAGAGACAUAGGUGCUGUCUCCUUUCUCCAGCCCAACAAACUUUGCAGUUGAGGAAAUUGAGGCUCAAAGAUUCCAACCCUAAAAUUUUAUGGCAAGGUGGGUUUUCUGUAUUUUUGCUGUGUCGUCCUGGGCAAGUCACCAUGACGUGCUGUGGCUCAGUUUCCCAUGGAUCACUCACUUAACUUGAAUAGGCCUCAGUUUCCACAUCUGCAAAGUAAGAAGAUGGGCCUCUGCAGUUUCUUCCAACUGGGAAUCUCUGAUUUCAUGAUCUCCCAACAUCUCUAAUAUAUGCCCGGGAAGCUUUUCUGUAUUUUCGUUUGCUUGGCCCUAGGCAAGUCAUUUUGAUUCAGUUUUCUUAUCAAUAAAAUGAGGGGACUGCAUCAAAUAUGUUUAGGCUUUGGGACAAAUAAUGAGGAUAGUGCUUUAAGAUCUGCAAAGAUAAAGGUGCCCAUUUUGCAGAUAGGAGAUUAUUUAAGUGAUCUGCCCGGAGUCACACGGGGGAAAUUGGAACUCAGAUUCUUCCAAGUCUAGGUUCAGCCCUCUACCCUCUGCACCACCUCGCUGACUUCUUGCUGAUGUUGGUAUUGGGCCCUGGCCUUGAGGGAUGGCUCAGGUUUCAACAGUUAAAAGUAGGGGAGGGAGAAAAGGUAAAAGCUGGGAGGACUCGGGAACCUUUGGCUAAGAGAGCUCUCAUUUCUCCUGGAGGCUUUAGAGCUUAGCAAGGUACAUCUCUAUCCUUCCUUUGUCAGGCCCAGUCCAAGCUUUACUGCCGUCCUGGGAAUAUCAUGUUGUCCAUUCAAAAGCUGGGGGAGGGAAACCCUACCCAACCUGGAGCACCACCUGGGGUCAGAGAAG